GAUGAACGCUGGCGGCGUGCUUAACACAUGCAAGUCGAACGGAAAGGCCUUGUGCUUGCACAGGGUACUCGAGUGGCGAACGGGUGAGUAACACGUGGGUGAUCUGCCCUGCACUGUGGGAUAAGCCUGGGAAACUGGGUCUAAUACCAUAUAGGACCGCAUCUUGGAUGGUGUGGUGGAAAGCUUUUGCGGUGUGGGAUGAGCCUGCGGCCUAUCAGCUUGUUGGUGGGGUAAUGGCCUACCAAGGCGGCGACGGGUAUCCGGCCUGAGAGGGUGUACGGACACACUGGGACUGAGAUACGGCCCAGACUCCUACGGGAGGCAGCAGUGGGGAAUAUUGCACAAUGGGCGCAAGCCUGAUGCAGCGACGCCGCGUGGGGGAUGAAGGCCUUCGGGUUGUAAACUCCUUUCGCUAUCGACGAAGCCUUCGGGUGACGGUAGGUAGAUAAGAAGCACCGGCUAACUACGUGCCAGCCGCCGCCGUAA
rnacentral:rRNA from 1 species